rnacentral:tRNA from 1 species
GGGGCUGUAGCUCAGUGGUUGAGAGCGCACGCCUGAUAAGCGUGAGGCCGGAGGUUCGAGUCCUCCCAGCCCCACCC